rnacentral:rRNA from 1 species
CAAUAGCGUAUAUUAAAGUUGUUGCAGUUAAAAAGCUCGUAGUUGGACCUUGGACCUGGACAGGCGGUCCGCCUCACGGCGAGUACUGUCUUGCUGGGUCUUUCCUCUUGGUGAUCUGUUGUUUCGGCAGCAGGGAACCAGGACCUUUACUUUGAAAAAAUUAGAGUGUUCAAAGCAGGCUCGACGCCGGAAUAUAUUAGCAUGGAAUAAUAAAAUAGGACGUGCGGUUCUAUUUUGUUGGUUUUUGGAAUCGCCGUAAUGAUUAAUAGGGACAGUCGGGGGCAUUAGUACUCACAUGCUAGAGGUGAAAUUCUUGGAUUUUGUGAAGACUGACUUCUGCGAAAGCAUUUGCCAAGGAUGUUUNCAUUA